rnacentral:tRNA from 1 species
GCCGAGGUGGUGAAAUUGGUAGACACGCCAGCUUCAGGUGCUGGUAGGGGCAACCCUGUGGAGGUUCAAAUCCUCUCCUCGGCACCA